rnacentral:lncRNA from 1 species
GCAUGACAACUCUUAGUAUUUCAUGAAAAGAAAAUGCAGCCCCUAGGAGAACGUCAGGUGUCCAUAGCUUGGCAUUUAACCUCUCCCCAAAUUCAUUUAUCUUCAGACUGCUUUUUCAGUCUCACAUGUCAGUACAGUCACUCUGCACAUACUGUGGCCUCUUUACAGCAGAUAUUCUGGAUUCUCAGACCUCACCACAUAAACGUCCUCCUCUGUUUCUAGCCGCACUGUCAUCCUGUUCCAAAAUGUUUCCCUACUCUGCCCAUCCCGACCCCUGCACUCUACUUACUCUUUAGGAAACUGAUCAUCACCACCAUUCAGGACCAGAGCGGCCUCCUCCAAGAAGCUUUCCCCCUCCCCCACCUCAAUCAAAUGUUUUCUCCUCUUCCAGGUGAUGUCACUUUGCCUCUUUUUCGGUUUAAUCCAGGCUUUGAUAAAGUCCAUUGUUUGCAGGCUUGUCUCCCUUAAUCUGUAGUUUUUUGAAGGCAAGAUCUACUUCACCCACUC